rnacentral:rRNA from 1 species
GACGAACGCUGGCGGCGUGCCUAAUACAUGCAAGUCGAGCGCGGGAAGCUUGCGGAAUCUUUCGGGAGGAAGUGAGCGGACCGAGCGGCGGACGGGUGAGUAACACGUGGGCAACCUGCCCGUAAGACGGGGAUAACCCCGGGAAACCGGGGCUAAUACCGGAUAGGUGACCUUUCUGCAUGGAGGGGUCAUGAAAGGCGGCGGAAGCCGUCGCUUACGGAGGGGCCCGCGGCGCAUUAGCUAGUUGGUGAGGGAAGGGCUCACCAAGGCGACGAUGCGUAGCCGGCCUGAGAGGGUGAACGGCCACACUGGGACUGAGACACGGCCCAGACUCCUACGGGAGGCAGCAGUAGGGAAUCUUCCGCAAUGGACGGAAGUCUGACGGAGCAACGCCGCGUGAGUGAGGAAGGCCUUCGGGUCGUAAAGCUCUGUUGUUCGUGAAGAAGGGGUUGGCCAGGAAAUGGGCCGACAUUGACGGUAGCGAACCAGAAAGCCCCGGCUAACUACGUGCCAGCAGCCGCGGUAACACGUAGGGGGCAAGCGUUGUCCGGAAUGAUUGGGCGUAAAGGGCGCGCAGGCGGCCUCUUAAGUCUGAUGUGAAAGCCCACGGCUCAACCGUGGAGGGACAUUGGAAACUGGGGGGCUUGAGUGCAGGAGAGGGGAGUGGAAUUCCACGUGUAGCGGUGAAAUGCGUAGAGAUGUGGAGGAACACCAGUGGCGAAGGCGGCUCUCUGGCCUGUGACUGACGCUGAGGCGCGAAAGCGUGGGGAGCGAACAGGAUUAGAUACCCUGGUAGUCCACGCCGUAAACC